UGGGGAAUUUUGGACAAUGGGCGCAAGCCUGAUCCAGCCAUUCCGCGUGCAGGACGAAGGCCUUCGGGUUGUAAACUGCUUUUGUACGGAACGAAAAAGCCUUGGCUAAUACCCAGGGUCCAUGACGGUACCGUAAGAAUAAGCACCGGCUAACUACGUGCCAGCAGCCGCGGUAAUACGUAGGGUGCGAGCGUUAAUCGGAAUUACUGGGCGUAAAGCGUGCGCAGGCGGUUAUAUAAGACAGAUGUGAAAUCCCCGGGCUCAACCUGGGAACUGCAUUUGUGACUGUAUAGCUAGAGUGCGGCAGAGGGGGAUGGAAUUCCGCGUGUAGCAGUGAAAUGCGUAGAUAUGCGGAGGAACACCGAUGGCGAAGGCAAUCCCCUGGGCCUGCACUGACGCUCAUGCACGAAAGCGUGGGGAGCAAACAGGAUUAGAUACCC
rnacentral:rRNA from 1 species